AGAUGUGAGGGCAAUCUGGCUGUGACAUCUGUCUGCCCAUUGAUCGUCAGGGUUGAUUUGGCUCAUCUGGCUGGUUUGGGCAGGUGUCACCUUCCUCCCUCACCAUUCCAUGGGCUUCCCUCCCAAAACUGCGUGCUCAGUUGAAGAGGAUGAUCUUCGCCAAUAGAAAGAGGACCGUCCUUUGGUCAAGUCUAUAGGAGCAGCUACAAUCCCCUGCUAGAGCCUCCAAACAAGCUCUCAAGAAAGGAAUGGAAGCAAGAAGUAGAGAGGAAGAGGGAUAAAUGACGGCACAUUAUUGCAAUUGGUGAGUUGAACUAAACGUGUCUAA
rnacentral:snRNA from 1 species